rnacentral:rRNA from 1 species
AUUGAACGCUGGCGGCAUGCUUUACACAUGCAAGUCGAACGGCAGCGCGGGCUUCGGCCUGGCGGCGCGUGGCGAACGGGUGAGUAAUACAUCGGAACGUGCCCAGUUGUGGGGGAUAGCUCGGCGAAAGCCGGAUUACUACCGCAUACGACCUGCGGGUGAAAGCGGGGGAUCUUUGGACCUUGCGGUCUUGGAGCGGCCGAGUGCCGGUUAGCUAGUUGGUGGGGUAAAGGCCUACUAAGGCGACGAUCUGUAGCUGGUCUGAGGGGACGACUGGCCACACUGGGACGUGGACACGGCCCAGACUCCUACGGGAGGCAGCAGUGGGGAAUUUUGGACAAUGGGCGAAAGCCUGGUCCAGCAAUGCCGCGUGUGUGAUGAAGGCCUUCGGGUUGUAAAGCACUUUUGGCGGGAACGAAAAGGACUGUGCCAAUACCACGGUUCGAUGACGGUACCCGCAGAAUAAGCACCGGCUAACUACGUG